AAUAAGAAUCACACACUACAAAGACCUUACGGUACUGCUGUCACUGUUUGCAGCUUCUUCUUCCACCAUUCACGGCUUUACCCGCGGUCAACGGUGAAGCCAACUAGCAGGAGGUGAUCCCGACGGUGAAGCCAGCCAGCAGUAACAGGAUCAUCCCAUUCGCAGAGCUUGAGAGGCUGAACCACACCGUGAGCGGCAACGAGAGGUGGUAUUCACGCAUUCCCGGAGUCGAGAGCUCUGACUUGAACCGAUUAGAUUGUUAUUCUUCAGCUGAUGUUGAGGAGGUACCCCUAGAGCAAGUCCUGGAGGGAGACGAUGUUGCAGUUUGGUUCUUCCUAGGAUUUCCAUAUUUCAGUUUACGUCAUUUUUAAAUACUCUGAUAUGUAGAAGUUUUAUAUUAUAGUGCUU